UACGUAGGUGGCAAGCGUUGUCCGGAUUUAUUGGGGUUAAAGGGUGCGUAGGCGGCUUUGUAAGUCAGUGGUGAAAUACGGUAGCUCAACUAUCGAGGUGCCAUUGAUACUGCGGAGCUUGAGUACAGAUGAGGUAGGCGGAAUUGACGGUGUAGCGGUGAAAUGCGUAGAUAUCGGAAGGAACACCUGUGGCGAAAGCGGCUCACUGGACCAUAACUGACGCUGAGGCGCGAAAGCUAGGGGAGCAAACAGG
rnacentral:rRNA from 1 species